ensembl:lncRNA
GGGCUCAAGCCAUCAGCGCAAACGCCACCCCGGUGGCAUCAGGUAAACUGUGCCCAGCGGGCACAUGCAUUUACAGUAACCCUCUGGCAGUCAGGUUUUAAGGGAUACGGCAAUUAACGGGUUAAUCCGAAGCAUCAAGACUUUGAAAUCACAUACACAGAACAAUAUUCAUUAAGAAAGUGAAAUUAAAUGAUUAAUAAACUAUUUAUUCGAACCCUUGCUAUUUUCUAUUCUAAUAAGAGUCUUGGCUGUGGAACACCUGUAAUAGAGUUGGCUAGCUGGAUGCAAAUAAAGUCAUGCCUUUUAUUUGUUCCCCUGUUUGCUAUUUCACAUUCCUGUCACUGAAGCGUUGUGGCCAAAGACACAGAAGGUAACUGAAACAAUGUGGUUUAAGUCCAGGUGAUCAUAAGGGGUCCAAGCACAAUGGUUUGUGUAGAUGAUGCAGUUACACAAUGAACGUGUCUCUUUUCAAGUAAAU